GAUGAACGCUGGCGGCGUGCCUAAUACAUGCAAGUCGAGCGAACAGACGAGGAGCUUGCUCCUCUGACGUUAGCGGCGGACGGGUGAGUAACACGUGGAUAACCUACCUAUAAGACUGGGAUAACUUCGGGAAACCGGAGCUAAUACCGGAUAAUAUAUUGAACCGCAUGGUUCAAUAGUGAAAGACGGUUUUGCUGUCACGUAUAGAUGGAUCCGCGCCGCAUUAGCUAGUUGGUAAGGUAACGGCUUAUCAAGGCGACGAUGCGUAGCCGACCUGAGAGGGUGGUCGGCCACACUGGAGCUGGGACACGGUCCAUACGCCUACGGGAGGCAGCAGUAGGGAAUCUGCCGCAAUGGGCGAAAGCCUGACGGAGCAACGCCGCGUGAGUUAUGAAGGUCUUCGGAUCGUAAAACUCUGUUAUUAGUGAAGAACAAAUGUGUAAGUAACUAUGCACGUCUUGACGGUACCUAAUCAGAAAGCCACGGCUAACUACGUG
rnacentral:rRNA from 1 species